GUUCCAUUCUUGCUACGCGAAUUAAAUUGUUGAACAAGGGAAGUUUCAAAAAGAUUUUGAAUUUUGGUACUGUAGCAUUUUCGUUUGUUUGUAGCAAAUAUUGUUCAAUCAUAAAUUAACUAGGCUCAAAAAAUUCGUCUAGUAAAUUACAGACAAACUGUGCAAUUAGUUUUUGUUUUUUUUUCUAUAUUUAGUGCUCCAUAUAUGUGCCACAAGAUUUGAUGUGACAGAAAAUCUUGAAAAGUUUUUGAAUUUCGGGGUGAACUAAACAAGGCAUAAACUGUUAAAGCUACAGAAGCUCUGUGUCCUUUAUUUCUUCUCCGUGGUCGUGGAAAACACAAGUUUUUAGAUCUUAUUUAGUUUCACAUCUAAAAACUCUUCGUCUAUUACAUUGAUCUCCGGUUGUGUGUAUAUCAGUAUAUGGACAAGCAACAGUGCAGGGGGUUAUUAAAAAAAACAAAAGGAGAUACUCUUCCACCCCAACCCCAACCUCCAAUCCACCACAUCAAGGCCUUGUAUUCUAAAAUUUUUGGCAAAAUAAAUACUGUAGUAUUUUCGUUCUAUUUAACAGAUAUUGUCCAAUCAUGAAUUAAUUAGACUCAAAAAUUUAUCUCGUAAAUUACAGACAAACUAUAUAAUUAAUUAUUUUUUAUUUAUAAUUAAUACAUUAUGUAUUUACCGAUGUGACGAGAAAUAUG
rnacentral:lncRNA from 1 species